UAACGCGUGAGGAACCUGCCUCAAAGAGGGGACGAACAGUUGGAAACGACUGCUAAUACCGCAUAAGCCCACAGCUCGGCAUCGAGCAGAGGGAAAAGGAGCAAUCCGCUUUGAGAUGGCCUCGCGUCCGAUUAGCUAGUUGGUGAGGUAACGGCCCACCAAGGCGACGAUCGGUAGCCGGACUGAGAGGUUGAACGGCCACAUUGGGACUGAGACACGGCCCAG
rnacentral:rRNA from 1 species